rnacentral:pre_miRNA from 1 species
ACAGUACUCCCUCGGUCUGAGAAAAUUGUCCCUCAAAUAGAUGUAUCUAGCACCAAAUUAUUGUUAGAUACAUUCAUUUGAUGGACAAGUUUGGGACAAGAUUUUUCGGACGGAGGGAGUAGUAU